CUAUUGUGUUGAGAUAAUUGUAUCACAGGCAGAGGGGAGGAUUUCUGAUGUAAUGAAUGGGAGCGUUAGCUGUGUUGUAAUGUGUUGAUUGGUUGUUCUUCAAAACCCUGUGGGCAGUACUAUGUUUGUAGAAUGUGAAUAAAAGAGGCUGUAUGUGCCAGUACAGACAGAUCUUCUUGACCCUCAACACGUAGUCUUGUCUCGUGAUUGGAGGGAACUGCUAUAUCAC